rnacentral:rRNA from 1 species
UACGUAGGGUGCGAGCGUUAAUCGGAAUUACUGGGCGUAAAGCGUGCGCAGGUGGUUCGCUAAGACAGAUGUGAAAGCCCCGGGAUCAACCUGGGAACUGCGUUUGUGACUGGCGGGCUAGAGUGCGGAAGAGGGAGGUGGAAUUCCACGUGUAGCAGUGAAAUGCGUAGAGAUGUGGAGGAACACCGAUGGCGAAGGCAGCCUCCUGGUCUAGCACUGACGCUCAUGCACGAAAGCGUGGGGAGCAAACAGG